GGAAUAUUGGGCAAUGGAGGAAACUCUGACCCAGCAACGCCGCGUGGAGGAUGAAGGUCUUCGGAUUGUAAACUUCUGUUCUUGGGGAAGAAACAAAUGACUGUACCCAAGGAGCAAGCCCCGGCUAACUACGUGCCAGCAGCCGCGGUGAUACGUAGGGGGCAAGCGUUGUUCGGAAUGACUGGGCGUAAAGGGUGUGUAGGCGGUUUAUUAAGUUGAAUGUGAAAGCCCGGGGCUCAACCCCGGAACUGCAUUCAAAACUGGUAGACUUGAGUGUGGGAGAGGCAAGUGGAAUUCCUAGUGUAGCGGUGGAAUGCGUAGAUAUUAGGAGGAACAUCAGAGGCGAAGGCGACUUGCUGGAACAUAACUGACGCUGAGGCACGAAAGCGUGGGGAGCAAACA
rnacentral:rRNA from 1 species